CAAAAGCUUUGCAUUACUCCUCUAACAGCUGCCAAGGCAUGCAGGGGGUAUGUGUGGAGAAGGCCCCCUCAUGCAGGGUGUGUGUGUGGAGAAGGCCCCCUCAUGCAGGGUGUGUGUG